rnacentral:piRNA from 1 species
CAAUUAGUGUUUUUGGCGAUCCUUUGCUU